UGGAUAUAAUGCACAGAACCUGCAAUAUCUGCCUGUCCCUUUCCCCCAAAACCUUUUCAAUUAGCAAAAUUUUUUUUUUUUUUUACUAUAUAUACACACACACUAAUUUCCACAGAUGGUAAACAGUUUGUAGUAAUUGGGAGCAGGUGUGCCUUUGUGUGUAGAGUUGGUGUUUGUAUAUAAUUUUAGCAUUUUAAUACAGGGGUGUGUUUUGUAUAUAAUGAUUGCAUUUGCGUUUAGGUUUUUUUGGAUGUAGUGUUGACUUUUAAAUGCAUGUGUGUAGUAUUGGUGUUUGAGUGAAGGAUGUGUUUGAGUGUUUGUAUAUAAUUUUGGGGUUUGAAUUCAGGGGUGUUUUUGUAUGUAAUGUUUGUGUUUGCAGGGGUGUGUUGGCGUUUGCUGGGUUGUAUGCCACAUACUUACACAGAUAUACAUACACAUUAACACAGAGAUACACUUCACGUAUACACACAUUCAUAAACACAGAAAUACACACACUGGCGCAGAUACACACAGACAUACACACUGGUGCAUACACAAACUCAGAUACACACAGUGACAUGCACACAGAUACACACAGAUACACGUACACAGACAAACACACUGAUACGUACACACACACUCGGAUACACACACACCUUAACAUACAGAUACACGCACACCGACAGAUACACACACUGACACUCAGAAACACACUGACCCACAGAUAGACACACUGGCACAUACACACAGAUACACAACCUGGCACUGACACACAGUGACACAUACACUGCAACACACACAGGCACACACCUUAACCCACCAAUACAAACACACUGUGACACUCAGAUACACACAGUGACACAUACUAUCAGAUACACACACUGGCGCAUGCACUCAGAUACACACUGACACAGAUACACACAGUGACAUACACAGUGGCACAUACACACAGUAACACAUUAAUACACACAGUGACAUACACACACACACUGUCAAAUACGCACACGUCAUUAUAUAUAUAUAUAUAUAUAUAUAUAUAUAUGCAGUCACCCUCCUGUUAGCAUACCUGUUGUCUGAAGGAGGGUGAUUUGCUGAGGCUGGUGUGUUUGGGGGGAGCUGCUCACUCCUGGCUGCUGCUUCUCUCCCUCCAGCACUGCACACAGAUACACACAGAUACACGUACACAGACAAACACACUGAUACGUACACACACACUCGGAUACACACACACCUUAACAUACAGAUACACGCACACCGACAGAUACACACACUGACACUCAGAAACACACUGACCCACAGAUAGACACACUGGCACAUACACACAGAUACACAACCUGGCACUGACACACAGUGACACAUACACUGCAACACACACAGGCACACACCUUAACCCACCAAUACAAACACACUGUGACACUCAGAUACACACAGUGACACAUACUAUCAGAUACACACACUGGCGCAUGCACUCAGAUACACACUGACACAGAUACACACAGUGACAUACACAGUGGCACAUACACACAGUGACACAUUAAUACACACAGUGACAUACACACACACACUGUCAAAUACGCACACGUCAUUAUAUAUAUAUAUAUAUAUAUAUAUAUGCAGUCACCCUCCUGUUAGCAUACCUGUUGUCUGAAGGAGGGUGAUUUGCUGAGGCUGGUGUGUUUGGGGGGAGCUGCUCACUCCUGGCUGCUGCUUCUCUCCCUCCAGCGCUGCGUAUUCUACAUGAAGCUGGGAGGAAGUAGCCGUCUGUCACUUCCUCCCAACAAACAUACCCGUUUGCGCUAUUAAUCAGCCGUGCUGCUGACCAGGCCUCUGUGCAGCAAUGCAUGGGCCACCCGAUGGACAGAUCACUGUGGAACCCCAAUUUUGUUCUUGCAGAACCCUAGGGUUCUGCGGAACACCAAUUGGGAAACACUGCUGUAGACACAAAACAUUUUUAAAGUGUUUUUCGAUGCUAAGAUACUUUUGUAUCAAGAUCCAGGGGUGAAUUCUCUAAGAAUAAUUUAUUUUCAACAAGAGCUAGUAUCUAAAUAAAGAGGCAGGUGCACUUAUCACAUUUACAAAAGUCACACUUAAUUGAACUGCCAAACACAAUUAUAAACCAGAUGCUUUGUUAGCCAACUGAUCAGUGUAUGCACAAUCAACAUCUCAGUUAUUAAUAAAAAAAAUUAAAAUAAAAGGAGAAACUGCUGCAAUAGUAGGAUUUAAUAAGACACCUGGGAUUGGCUGAGAAUUCUUGGCCAGAUCCUGGUUUGUGCAUGAAUUGAGAUGUUAUAAGAUCUGUAAAACCCUACAAAUAUGGGUUACGUAGAAUAAAUAUAGUAUAGAAUUUUAAUUAGUUUACAUUUUUAAAUUUA
rnacentral:lncRNA from 1 species